rnacentral:rRNA from 1 species
AUGGGUUUCCUGGAUGGAUCUGGCAAGGAGCCCGCCGCUGAGGUCCAAGCGGAGACGGAGGUCGCCGGCAAGAAGACGGUCACCAUCAGCCCCAACCCGGAGCACGCCAUCUGGGUUACCCAGGACCAGCAGGUGCUCUCGUUUUUUAUCGCAACCCUUUCUCGAGAAGUCCUUCUGCGGGUCCGCAACUGCUCGACGGCCGCCGCAACUUGGAGCGCUCUUCUCUAGAGUUUCUCCUCGCAGUCCCGCGCUCGCAUCAUCCAGCUCCGG